GACGAACGCUGGCGGCGUGCUUAACACAUGCAAGUCGAACGGUGAGGCCCUUCGGGGUACACGAGUGGCGAACGGGUGAGUAACACGUGGGUGAUCUGCCCUGCACUUCGGGAUAAGCCUGGGAAACUGGGUCUAAUACCGGAUAGGACUCCUGGCUUCAUGGUUGGGGGUGGAAAGCUUUUGCGGUGUGGGAUGGGCCCGCGGCCUAUCAGCUUGUUGGUGGGGUAAUGGCCUACCAAGGCGACGACGGGUAGCCGGCCUGAGAGGGUGACCGGGCACACUGGGACUGAGAUGUGGCCAGACUCCUACGGGAGGCAGCAGUGGGGAAUAUUGCACAAUGGGCGCAAGCCUGAUGCAGCGACGCCGCGUGAGGGAUGACGGCCUUCGGGUUGUAAACCUCUUUCAGCUAUGACGAAGCGCAAGUGACGGUAGUAGCAGAAGAAGGACCGGCCAACUACGUGCCAGCCGCCGCGGUAA
rnacentral:rRNA from 1 species